ACGGAAGGCAGCAGUGGGGAAUAUUGGGCAAUGGGCGCAAGCCUGACCCAGCGACGCCGCGUGAGUGAAGAAGUAUUUCGGUAUGUAAAGCUCUUUAAGCAGGGAAGAAAACGACGGUACCUGCAGAAUAAGCACCGGCUAAAUACGUGCCAGCAGCCGCGGUAAUACGUAUGGUGCAAGCGUUAUCCGGAUUUACUGGGUGUAAAGGGAGCGUAGGUGGUUCGGCAAGCCAGAAGUGAAAACCCGGGGCUCAACUCCGCGGAUUGCUUUUGGAACUGUUGAGCUAGAGUGCAGGAGGUGUAAGUGGAAUUCCCAGUGUAGCGGUGGAAUGCGUAGAUAUUGGGAGGAACACCAGUGGCGAAGGCGGCUUACUGAACUGUAACUGACACUGAGGCUCGAAAGCGUGGGGAGCAAACAGGAUUAGAUACCCUGGUA
rnacentral:rRNA from 1 species